AUUGAACGCUGGCGGCAUGAUUUACACAUGCAAGUCGAACGGUAACAGGCCGCAAGGUGCUGACGAGUGGCGAACGGGGGAGUAAUGCAUCGGAACGUGCCCAGUCGUGGGGGAUAACUACUCGAAAGAGUAGCUAAUACCGCAUACGAUCUAAGGAUGAAAGCGGGGGACCGUAAGGCCUCGUGCGAUUGGAGCGGCCGCUGUCAGAUUAGGUAGUUGGUGGGGUAAAGGCUCACCAAGCCAACGAUCUGUAGCUGGUCUGAGAGGACGACCAGCCACACUGGGACUGAGACACGGCCCAGACUCCUACGGGAGGCAGCAGUGGGGAAUUUUGGACAAAGGGCGCAAGCCUGAUCCAGCAAUGCCGCGUGCAGGAAGAAGGCCUUCGGGUUGUAAACUGCUUUUGUACGGAACGAAACGGCUCUGGUUAAUACCCGGGGCUAAUGACGGUACCGUAAGAAUAAGCACCGGCUAACUACGUG
rnacentral:rRNA from 1 species